rnacentral:rRNA from 1 species
AAUGAACGCUGGCGGCAUGCCUAACACAUGCAAGUCGAACGAAGGCUUCGGCCUUAGUGGCGCACGGGUGCGUAACGCGUGGGAAUCUGCCCUCAGGUUCGGAAUAACAGCGAGAAAUUGCUGCUAAUACCGGAUGAUAUCGCGAGAUCAAAGAUUUAUCGCCUGAGGAUGAGCCCGCGUAGGAUUAGCUAGUUGGUGUGGUAAAGGCGCACCAAGGCGACGAUCCUUAGCUGGUCUGAGAGGAUGAGCAGCCACACUGGGACUGAGACACGGCCCAGACUACUACGGGAGGCAGCAGUGGGGAAUAUUGGAAAAUGGGCGAAAGCCUGAUCCAGCAAUGCCGCGUGAGUGAUGAAGGCCUUAGGGUUGUAAAGCUCUUUUACCCGGGAUGAUAAUGACAGUACCGGGAGAAUAAGCUCCGGCUAACUCCGUGCCAGCCGCCGCGGUAA